AUGUGUUAUUUGGAGUCUCAAAAAAUUAAAGGUUACCCUAGUGUCAUAAUAAACAUGUUAAGGUAAAACAUAUUUGGGUAUGAUUCCUUGAGGACCACCUUAAGGGUCCUAGAAGAUGACCCAAAGCGUUGCCAAGAUGUUUCCAAGGCACCGUGCAUAAUUUAGAUCUGGAGUCCACUCCGCAUCACGCGCCUAUCACUCAACGUUCCUCAGAGUCGCGAUUGAGUUACAAGGUUCAUUGCCUCAAAUAAUUCGUGAAGUAAAAUUUAGAGUUUCCUCCAAAACGAGCAGCCAUGUCCCAGAUUCAGUUAUGUCGUUUUAAAGUCAAGUUUGACAUGUCAAAAUGUCCAUAUAAUUAUGGGGAUGUUUUCAGAUUUUGCAAUUUAGAAAUACACGAUUUUUAUGUCAUAUUUUUCCAUUUUCAAGGAAAAAUGCCAAUACCCAAUAAGAAAUCAAAAAUCCAGAACUAUUUUCUCUUCCAAUAUUAUCUCAAACCUCCAUUGGAGGCCGAACUCAAGCUCAAUCUUGAAGAUAAAUUUUCAAUGGAUUUCAUCUCCUAAUUUUCUGGGCUUUUCUUCUAUGAAGUUAUGUUAACCCUUGAUACUUAGUUACAUUGCUUCUAAGGAGCUCAAUCACAGGUUUUCUAAUGUGUUUCUAAGGUGUAUGUGGAAAGUUAGAAGCGUCUUGAAGGAAAGCUUGGAAUCUAGUUAUCAUUCCAGCAAAGUAGAAGUAUGUCCUCACUCGACUCGAGGGCAUAACCACCUUUUGAUGACUUUUAAUUCAAAGUAUUGUAAUAGACUAUGUAUUUCUAUAUUAAUAUUGUAUGGGUCGUGUCCCAUGUAUUCUCGAGUCUAAGAUUGGCAUAUGUUCAGACUUAGUUUUUCCAUAAUUUUAAUAUGAAAGAUGUUUUAAGA